rnacentral:lncRNA from 1 species
UUAAAAUUCAGUUCAAGAGAAGUCCGAGUCUGAUGUCAGAAGAUGUAACCAAAGAAAAUAAACAAAAUGACAAUAAUACAUAAAUAACAACAGACUACUAGCAGUUAACUGACAUGCCAGCUCCAGACUUCAAUUAAACUGACUGAAAGAUUAUGAUUUCAUAAUAUGAACAUCAGGCACAAUCCUUCCCAUUAGGGGUUUAGUAUCAUACCAUCAUAACAUAUAUGAGAAGAACAUAACCCGUGUCAUGCCAACAACUGUUUUUAGAAUAAAUGUGUUUAGUUCCGAUGCAAAGACCUUAUCAGUGACUCAAUAUUAACGCC